AGGCCAGUAGUUCCAACGGCUAGAACGCCGGUCUCCAAAACCGGAUGUUGUGGGUUCGAAUCCCUCCUGGCCUGCCA
rnacentral:tRNA from 1 species